GCAGUCGUGGCCUAAUGGAUAGAGAGUCGGACUUGUAACCUGAAGGUGAACCUGAAGGUCGUGGGUUCGAGUCCGGCAGGGAUUGUA